CAAAAGCGUAUAUUAAAGUUGUUGCAGUUAAAAAGCUCGUAGUUGAACCUUGGGCUUGGCUGGCCGGUCCAUCUUUUUUGAUGCGUACUGGACCCAGCCGAGCCUUUCCUUCUGGCUAGCCUUUUGGCGAACCAGGACUUUUACUUUGAAAAAAUUAGAGUGUUCAAAGCAGGCCUUUGCUCGAAUAUAUUAGCAUGGAAUAAUAGAAUAGGACGUUAUGGUUCUAUUUUGUUGGUUUCUAGGACCAUCGUAAUGAUUAAUAGGGACGGUCGGGGGUAUCAGUAUUCAGUUGUCAGAGGUGAAUUCUUGGAUUUACUGAAGACUAACUACUGCGAAAGCAUUUACCAAGGACGUUUUCAUUAA
rnacentral:rRNA from 1 species